AGCUCCAAUAGCGUAUCUUAAAGUUGUUGCAGUUAAAAAGCUCGUAGUUGGAUUUCGGAAUGGGCCAGUUGGUCCGCCGCAAGGUGAGUUACUGACUGGUCUGUUCUUCUUCGCAAAGACUGCGUGUGCGCUUUAUUGCGUGUACGUAGGAUUUACGACGUUUACUUUGAAAAAAUUAGAGUGUUCAAAGCAGGCUAACGCUUGAAUACAUGAGCAUGGAAUAAUGGAAUAGGACUUUGGUCUUAUUUUGUUGGUUUCUGAGACCGAAGUAAUGAUUAAGAGGGACAAUUGGGGGCAUCCGUAUUUCGUUGUCAGAGGGGAAAUUCUUGGAUUUACGAAAGACGAACAACUGCGAAAGCAUUUGCCAAGAGUGUUU
rnacentral:rRNA from 1 species